CUGACUUCAGCAUGCAAGAUCUCUGAAGGAAAGCGCGCCAAUAUCUACACGGAUUCAAGAUAUGCACUGGGCGUGGCUCACGACUUCGGAUUAAUUUGGAAAACAAGAGGAUUUCUUACCACCACCGGUACACCAAUCAAGCACCGUUCCGCGAUCAAGGAGCUGAUGGACGCCCUCCUACUCCCAGAAGAAGUGGCUAUUUUGAAGAUAAAAGCACAUGGGAAGUUGGACUCAGAUGAAGCAAAGGGCAACCAUCUAGCUGAUCAGGCUGCAAAAGAACCACAGGAAGUGGAAAGAAGAGUGUCCGGAAAUGAAGAAACUCCCAUAUUUACUCUGCAGACUCUUCCAACUGACCUGAAAAUCCUGCUGGAACAACAGGCUACAGUUGCCCCUGAAGAAAUACAGAAGUGGAAACAGUAAGGGGCAGUUCUGAAGGAUGGAGUGUACUCCAACAACCUCAAUUUCUGCCUCCCUAAGAAUUUGUACCCAGCAGUCGUACAAUGGGCACACAGACCUGCACAUUUAUCAAAAGAUCUAAUGAAUGCUCUUGUACAAAAAUACUACCUCAUUGUCCCCAUACGAGAUUCUAUUUGGGACUGCACCUAGGCUAGGUUGCUAUUUUCCCCAACAACUACAAC